rnacentral:sRNA from 1 species
GGACUGUGGCCUCACCAUGGACCCGGAAUGCGCCCAGCUGCUCCCGGCUCUCUGUGCUGUUCUGGUAGAUCCCAGGCAGCCGGUGGCAGAUGACACCUGUUUGGAGAAGCUACUGGACUGGUUUAAAACGGUCACUGAAGGAGAGUCCAGUCUCGUGCUGCUGCAGGAGCACCCCUGCCUGGUGGAGCUGCUGUCCCAUGUGCUGAAAGUCCAGGACCUGAGUCCCGGGGUCCUCUCCUUCUCACUCCGUCUGGCAGGAACCUUCGCGGCCCAGGAAAACUGCUUCCAGUAUCUUCAGCAGGGGGAGUUGCUACCAGGGCUCUUUGGGGAGGCAGGACCCCUCAGCCGAGCAGCCUGGGCCGUCCCCACCGUGCGCAGCAGCUGGAUCCAGGGCCUGCGCUCCCUGGCACAGCACCCCAGCGCUCUGCGCUUCCUGGCCAACCACGGUGCGGUUGACACCAUCUUCUCCCUGCAGGGAGACUCCAGCCUGUUUGUGGCCUCGGCGGCCAGUCAGCUCCUGGUACACGUCCUGGCUUUGUCCAUGCAAGGUGGAGCCAAGGGGCAGCCCUGCCUGCCGGGGGGUGACUGGCCCGCGUGUGCCCAGAAGAUCAUGGAUCACGUUGAAGAGUCCUUGUGCUUCACGGCCACCCCCAAGGUCACUCAGGCCCUGAACGUCCUGACCACGACCUUCGGGCGCUGCCAGAACCCCUGGACGGAAGCCCUGUGGGUGCGGCUGAGUCCCCGCGUGGCCUGUCUGCUGGAGAGAGACCCCAUCCCCGCCGCACACUCGUUCGUGGACCUGCUUCUCUGUGUGGCUCGGUCAGGGCCCCGGGACGCAGCUGGGGGGCCUGGGUGGGCAAUUGUUUUCCAUCCCUGGGCAAAUGACUCCCAGGGAUGUCCCACUGGCAGCCAGAGACUCUCUGAGGACGUGGCCUGCAGUGAAGUGGCACCGGAGUGACCCUGGAACCCUCAUGGGGAAAGGCCUGUCUUGGGCUGGGCGCCUCCAGCGUGGGGGCCAUGGCAGUCUCAGCCAGGCCUCGGAUGGAGUUUUGCAGGUGGAGGAGUAAUUUUUCUCUCUGGGGUCUCCCUGCAGUUCUCCCGUGUUCAGUUCUUCUGACGGCGGCCUGUGGGAGACGGUGGCGCAGGCUCUGAGCUGCCUGGGCCCCACCCACGUGGGACCCCUGGCUUUGGGGAUCCUGAAGCUCGAGCACUGUCCACAGGCACUGAGGACCCAGGCCUUCCAGGUCCUUCUCCAGCCCCUGGCCUGUGUCCUGAAGGCCACGGUUCAGGCCCCCGGACCCCCAGGCUUGCUGGAUGGGACGGCAGACGAUGCCACGACGGUGGACACGCUCCUGGCCUCCAAGUCGUCCUGCGCGGGCCUCCUGUGCCGCACCCUGGCUCACCUGGAGGAGCUGCAGCCGCUGCCCCAGCGCCCUUCACCGUGGCCCCAGGCGUCCCUACUGGGAGCUACAGUGACUGUCCUGCGGCUCUGCGGCGGCUCAGCUGCCCCCGCCUCCCGUGUGGGGGGCCACCUGUGUGGGACCCUGGCGGGCUGCGUCCGGGUCCAGCGAGCAGCCCUCGACUUCCUGGGGACGCUGUCACAGGGGACAGGCCCCCAGGAGCUGGUGACGCAGGCGCUUGCUGUCCUCCUGGAGUGCCUCGAGAGCCCUGGCUCCAGCCCCACGGUAUGGCGGUGGGGAUAGGGAGCGAGGAGAGGAGGGAGGCAGAGGCAGUGGGACCCACCCCCGACUCCACCCCGGCCCCGUGCAGGCCUCCGCAGAUGGAGCCUUCACACAGGGCCACAGAGUUGCUGCUCAGAGAGCUUCACGAUGCAGGUGGCUGCAUGGGUCAGGCUCAGGGCCUCUUGUUGGUGAAGAUACAUCAGCACGCAGGGGUGUGUGGGGCCGUGGGGAGCAGGGGCACUGGCCAGGCGGCCUGCAGGGAAUUCUGGACAAGGGAAACGAGGUAGCACCAGGACGGCCCUGGGCGUGGGCUCCGGGUUCUUCUAAGCACCAUUUGUGAACGUGCCCACUCCACAGCCCCUCACGGAGCUGGGCCCUGGCAGGUACAGACCUUGCACCACCUGCCGCUGAGCAGACAGCAGACAACUUUGGAGGAAGGGCCCAGGGCUUCUUGGGAUCCUAAGGAAAAGGUGCCCUGCGUAAUUGCUCAUGUUUUGAUGUAGAAAUCCUGUUGCCUGGGUUGUGGGUCUUCUGGUGGGGGCUGCCGCCACCUCCUCCUCCUCACAGUCUGGGAAGCCAGUUCUGCAGCAGAUUCUGCCCUAUUAAAAUCAGCCCAGGAGGGGCGUGGGGCUCACAGCUGUGAUUACUGUGCGUUGGGGGGCCGAGGUGGGGGGAUCAAUGGAGCCCAGGACUUUGAGGCCAGCCUGGGCAACAUAGCAAGAUCCCAUCUCUACAAAAAAAUACAAAAAUUAGCCCCGGAGGUAUAGCUCAGGGGUAGAGCAUUUGACUGCAAAAAUUAGCCGGGCGUGGUGAUGUGUGCCUCUAGCCCCAGCUACUCAUGAGACUGAGGCAGGAGGAUUGUUUGAACCGGGGAGAUGGAGGCUGCAGUGAACUGUGAUUACAGUCCAGCCUGGGUGACACAGUGAGACCCUGUAAAGAAGGAAGCCCAGCGUUCUCUUCUCUCUUCCCUUCCUGUCCCCAUCUGUGUCCUUGGAGUAGGGGCAGCACAGGUGAAGGUGAGGGGGACAGACAGACAGCUUGCCCGUCCCCUCCCAUGGCCCUACAGCCCACCCUGUGUGCUCCAGGUUCUGAAGAAGGCCUUCCAGGCUACGCUCAGGUGGCUGCUGAGCUCACCCAAGACCCCCGGCUGCUCUGAUCUCGGCCCCCUCAUCCCGCAGUUCCUCAGAGAGCUGUUCCCUGUGCUGCAGAAACGCCUGUGCCACCCCUGCUGGGAGGUGAGGGACUCCGCCCUCGAGUUCCUGACCCAGCUGAGCAGGCACUGGGGAGGACAGGUCGGCUUCAGAUGCGCACUCUUGGCUUCAGAGGUGCCUGAGCUGGCCCGGCAGCUCCUCCAGGACCCUGAGAGUUAUGUCCGAGCGAGCGCGGUGACCGCCAUGGGGCAGCUGUCCAGCCAGGGCCUGCACGCCCCCACCAGCCCUGAGCAUGCAGAGGCCCGGCAGGUAGGAAGUGGUGGGUUCCUUGGCUGCCAGCCCCCAUGAGCCCUGAGCACGCAGAGGUCUGGCAGGUAGGAGAUGGCGGGUUCCUCAGCCACCACCUCCCGCCUGGCCAUCGUGUGUGCUCGUUUGCUUGCGGGUGGGCGAGCGGCCAGCAUCCAGCGUGGGAGCAGCUGCUGCUAUGGGCAGCGCCUGCAGGAGUGACUGCCGAGGCCCUGGGGCUCUGCUGGGUGUAGCACCUGUGCGCUUCGCCUUCUGUCUCCCCAGCACCCCUCCAGUUAGUCAUGGUGACCUCCAUUUGACAGAUGGGUAAACUGAGGAUUGGAGGGCAGUGUGCUCACCGCGCAGCAUGGGAAGGUGCCAGAGCGGGCUGUGGCCCUAGACUGCAUGUCCGGGGCCAGCCCCCAUGAUGUACCCGGGGUCCUGUUGUGGGAGCCUCGCUCCUGCUGCCCCACCAACCAUCUGCACCUGCUCCCUGUCCCCCAGAGCCUGUUCCUGGAGCUCCUGCGCAUCCUCUCCGUAGACUCGGAGGGCUUCCCACGGCGGGCGGUCAUGCAGGUCUUCACCGAGUGGCUGCGGGACGGCCACGCCGACGCGGCCCAGGACACGGAGCAGUUCGUGGCCACUGUGCUGCAGGUGGUGAGCCGGGACCUGGACUGGGAGGUCCGCGCCCAGGGCCUGGAGCUGGCACUGGUGUUCCUGGGCCAGACUUUGGGGCCGCCACGUACCCACUGCCCCUAUGCCAUGGCCCUACCCGAGGUGGCCCCAGCCCGGCCACUCACCGAGGCACUGAGGGCUCUCUGCCACGUGGGGCUCUUUGACUUCGCCUUUUGUGCCUUGUUUGACUGCGACCGCCCUGUGGCGCAGAAGUCUUGUGACCUUCUUCUCUUUCUGAGGGACAAGAUUGCUUCCUACAGCAGCCUGCGGGAGGCCGGGGGCGGCCCCAGCACCACCUCCAUGGAGGCCACCCUGCCAAGGUGGCGGGCGGGUGAGCAGGCCCAGCCCUCGGGAGACCAGGAGCCUGAGGCUGUGCUGGCCAUGCUCAGGUCCCUAGACCUGGAGGGCCUGCGGAGAACGCUGGCCGAGAGCAGCGACCACGUGGAGAAGAGUCCCCAGUCCCUCCUGCAGGACAUGCUGGCCACGGGAGGCUUCCUGCAGGGGGACGAGGCCGACUGCUACUGAGCAGAACCAGAGUCUGCCACUGGGGCUCAGGACUGAGGGAGGCAGCACCAUGUCCUUCUGUGGGACACUGCCAGCCCCAGGGCUCCAGCUCAGCCUGGUGGAUCCUCUGGGGAAGCCAGGACCAGGAGAGAAGCAAGGUCAAAAAAUCCAACAUUUUGAUGUAUUAAAGAAAUGACUUAUUUUCUACUC